AUAGAGGAGAUCUGUUUUCUUUCAUCUGUGUCCUUCAGGUGAAGAGAAUAGAUGCCAUGGGUUAGAGUCUUUCUUGCUUUUGAUCAACUGCAUAAGCUGCUUCCUCUGCCUGGAAGGCCAAUCAUCCUUGUCCCAACUCUUGUGGAACAGCACCCAGUCUUACCACCUCUUCUAUGAAGUCUUUACAGAUAGAGGGUUCCUUUUCUCACUGCCAAAUUCCCACAGUAUAUAGUUUUUACCUCACAUUCUGUCCCAUGUACCUGACCAACCUCUCUACUGGGCUGUGAGCUCCCUGAAGGCAGACCCCAGUGUUACCCUUGUAAUCUGUUUACUCUUCUCGAACUCAGCUGCCGGUUAGCCAAUGAUUCCCUACAACUUACAGAGGGAAGAGCCCACUUUGUAGAAUUCAGAGAAGGACAAGUUACAUCCCAGUACUUUCCAAACUCCCUAUCUGGUCAGCGUGAGUGGAAAAGUACAUGAAAAACUACAAGGGAGAAGAUGAGUGGCACUCUACGAAGUACAAUGGAAGGCCCUGGGUAGUAAGAGAAUGAAGACUGGAAGGUGCCUUAAGGGAAGGGUGUUUAUGUGGAGAAGGACAGAUGAGGAACAGGUAAGAAGAGAUGGACAUGUGUGUUCAAGGAGGGAGCAACCUGAACCAGAAACACUGAAGGAUGUGGGAUGGUAUGGAGCAGUAGAGAGGAAGCCAGAAGGAGAAAAUGCUGAGGAAGAUCUGAAAGGGAACCAUUCAAAGGCAGAAUCUGAAGUAAUUGCUCAGAGGGUGGGUAACCUUGUGGACAAGCCAGAAACCUUUCAAGGAAAGUAAGGAAUCUUCUGGAAGGUAAGGAUUUCACAAAUGGGGCUCCCAGGAAAAUGGGGGUGAGCAGAAGGGCACAGAGGCAUACUCUGAGGCAUCUUUCAAGGGGCCUUUAUGUGGGGAAAGGGAAAUCCUCUUAGAGGGCAGUGGUUCUCAAACUUGAGCAUGCAUCAGAAUCACCAGGAAGGUUCCUAAAAACAGAUAGCUACUGCCAGGCUUUCUGAUUCAGUAGGUCUGGGUUGGGACUCAAGAAUUUGCAUUUUAACAAGUUAUCAGGUGAUGUUUGUGCUGCUGGUCCAGGGUCAACACUUUGACUACUAUAUGGGGAGGGAUUCUUUUGUGAAGAAGCUCUCAAUGUGGAAAAGGAAGGAGAAAACUUCUGAGAGGAAAAUUGAGGGAGUCCUCAAGAAAAGUCUAAGGAAGGGUCUGUCUAUCUCUGAAGGGAAGAUCUGAAGGGAGGAGGGGUCUAUGAAGAUAGAGCCAAAGAAAAAUGUCCUGAGAGAAAGAGCUCUGAGGGCUGAAACUUCAAGGGGUGAGGGUAUCUCUUGAGGAUCUUUUAAUAAAAGGGGACACAGAGGCUCCUGAUAGGGGAAGUCUGUAGGAUGCUGGGGGCCUAUGGUGGGAUAAUGGGGGAAAGAAGCUCAGAUCUGAGAAGGAUCUCUAAGUUGAUUUCACAGGAAAGAGAAUGGAGGAGAUGAAAGGGUAUAAAUGGAGGUUCUAAAAGGGAUAUGUAAUAAGGCCUUGAAUAAGGUUUCUUGGAGAUGUCAGAGGGAGAAUCUGAGAGUGUGUUCUGAGGAAGUCUCACAAAGUGGUAGAGUUGUUGAUGCACAGCAAUUUUGGAAAAAAUUCUCUAAAAGGAGUCUGUGGAUGUGUGGUCUUCUGUGAGAGAUCUUAGAUUUACUGGAGCAGGAUGACAGAGGUCUUUUUAGGAACAAUUCUCAAAGAGCUCAGAUGAGAAAUCUCAGUAAAGCUUUCAAUAAGGUAUAUGGGGAAGGUGGUUCUUCUGAGAGGGAACGUGGCAAUGUCAUAGUAAAGGGUUUUUCAGAAAGAAUUCUGGGACUUUCUAAGAAAAUGAGCUCAGAGUUAUUUUGAGGGAAGACUGCAUUGGCGUUGGGUGUCUUUCACAGAGGGUUCUAGAGGAUUUGAGGGAAGCUGUAAGGGUGAGUUCAGGGAGGGAAUUAUCUAGGAAAAGUCUCAUAGUAAGUAAGUAGUAGUAGUGGUGGUGUUAGUCACUUAGUCGAGUCUGACUCAAUGGACUGUAGCACCCCAGUAGCACCCCAGGCUCCUCUGUCCAUGGAAUUCUCCAGACAAUAAUACUGGAUUGGGUUGCCAUUUCCUUCUCCACUCUCAGUAAGGCAGGAGGUCUGUAAGUAGUGAUUCAAGGGUUACUGGAAGAGUCUCUAGGAGAGGUUUUAAGUGCAUAUCUCAGAGGGCUCGUGGGGGUUCCGGGGGUCUCUGAGAAGGUAUGAGGAGGUCUUAAAAAACUGCAUCUCAGAGGGGUUGAGAAGAAAGGGUCUUAGGGUUUACAAGGGUUGUGAGGAGGAAAGUUCAUCAGAAAGCGGGUCUAUAAGGAGGGACCUUGAAAGGAGGAUUCUAAGGGGGAUUGAAGAAAAUAUCAGAGAGAAACUAUGGGAAACCUUUUGGAAUCCUAGGAAGCAAUUUUUGAAACAUUUUGUGUAGGUUAAUGGGAAAGAUUUUGGAUACAUAAAAAAGGUUUUGGAAGAGGCUCGUGGAAUGUGGAAAAAGUUCUCUGUAGAUUCAGGGGAUCUUUGGAGAUUUUUGGCAUAAGUGAGGAGGGUCUCAUGGGAAGAUUUUUGGGGUAUGUGAGGGUGCUCUAUAGAGCAUUUAGGGUGGGGAGAUUUGAGGAACAUGAAGAGAUCUUUGGGAGAGAUUUUUGGGACCUGUGGAAGGGUCCAAAGAGAUGACUUUUGGGAUGUGUAUAUGGAGAGGGAGUGUAUAUGGGAGAUGAAUUGGGGGAGAGGUGGGGCUCCAGGUGAGUU
ensembl:lncRNA